AGCUACCCAGAAUUGAAUGUCAAAGCCUAUGAACUAAGUCUUUAUUAGGUUCAAAAGUGACACCAACACAAGGAUUUUUUCCCUUCACUGUAUAAAGAUUCUCUUUACUUGCCACCCGUGUUCCACAUGGGAGGUGGGAAGCCUCGGGGAUGCUCAAGGAUGACAGCGUCCCCAUGGCAUCCCUGAGCAGUCCACCCAGCCACCUGAUCAGGCACUCACAGGCUCUGCCCGUGGUCAGCUGUCAGGCUCGGCUGUAAACAGUGCUUAGCCGGCUCCAGGGAAUGGUAAAGGAGGAGAACACCAGAGCGCAGGUGAAAAGCAAGAGUGUGGUGGUGUGGAUGGGUCCUGUACGGCUCGUUCUCAGGCGCCUGGAUCAGAUCCGAGACGAUUCCCCUGCUGCUCAUUCGGUACAGAGGCAAUUAGGAUUCUGCAUUUGAGCUGCUCCUUCGCUCUGUUAGUCAUUCGUAAUAGCUAAUGUGCUAGUCCAUGUGGUCCCUGUUGCCUGUAUUUGGUUGCCUUUUGGUUAAUUUAUCCAUAUUUUUGUUUACAUUAUUUUUAAGCUAGUAACUGUAAUAGUGUAAAAUCGAAGUUGUGCUGUUGAUGGGACAUCCUGGUGUUUCCGUGGUUUUUUUACAGUUGUCUGUCACAUAAUUUAAGUGCUCCUAUUCCUAAUGUAUAAAGUUCUUCCCUCUCAAUAAAUGACAAUGGAAGCACCUUC
rnacentral:lncRNA from 1 species